rnacentral:rRNA from 1 species
AGUGAACGCUGGCGGUAUGCCUAAUACAUGCAAGUCGAACGGACACACAGUAAGAUUUCGCCUUUACCGUUGGCGACGGGCGGGUGAGUGACACGUAGAUCGCCUUCUUCUUUUUCUGGGGUGACUUCGUAAGACAACUUACACUACCACCUCAUACAUUCAACCGGUUAAAUCAGUGGUUAUUCGGAGUUUUCCUGUCUCAAUUAGCUGAUGCCGGAUUAGCUAGUUGGCUAGGUAAAGGCCCACCAAGGCGACGAUCCGUAGCUGAGCUGAGAGGAUGAUCAGCCACACUGGAACUGAGACACGGUCCAGACUCCUACGGGAGGCAGCAGUGGGGAAUCUUCGACAAUGGGCGAAAGCCUGACGCAGCAAUGCCGCGUGAGUGAUGAAGGCCUUCGGGUUGUAAAACUCUUUUAUUAGGAAAGAACAACAGCAUAAGUAUCCACGGAUGUUUUGACGGUACCCAAAGAGUAAGCACCGGCUAACUUCGUG